AGUGAACGCUGGCGGUAGGCCUAACACAUGCAAGUCGAACGGCAGCACAGUAAGAGCUUGCUCUUACGGGUGGCGAGUGGCGGACGGGUGAGGAAUACAUCGGAAUCUACUUUUUCGUGGGGGAUAACGUAGGGAAACUUACGCUAAUACCGCAUACGACCUACGGGUGAAAGCAGGGGAUCUUCGGACCUUGCGCGAUUGAAUUAGCCGAUGUCGGAUUAGCUAGUUGGCGGGGUAAAGGCCCACCAAGGCGACGAUCCGUAGCUGGUCUGAGAGGAUGAUCAGCCACACUGGAACUGAGACACGGUCCAGACUCCUACGGGAGGCAGCAGUGGGGAAUAUUGGACAACGGGCGCAAGCCUGAUCCAGCCAUACCGCGUGGGUGAAGAAGGCCUUCGGGUUGUAAAGCCCUUUUGUUGGGAAAGAAAAGCAGCAGGUUAAUACCCCGCUGUUCUGACGGUACCCAAAGAAUAAGCACCGGCUAACUUCGUG
rnacentral:rRNA from 1 species